GUCUGCCUGCCUUAUUGAAUAUAAGUACUUUGGUUUCAGAUAAAUUUACAGUAAGACACCACUGUUUGCAAAACUUAUCUAACAUGUCUAAAUUAUCUAGUUUUUGUUGAAGACCAUGCGAUGAAGAAGAGAGCAGUAAAAUAUCAUCUGCAUACAUCAAACAAUGUAUAGGCCGGGAGUUUAGUAUAAUUGGAUCUGAUGUUUGUUUCAGUAAUGAAGGAAGGUCAUUAAUAAAACUUUUGAACAAGUUAGGACUUAGGUUGUCGCCUUGCUUAACUCCCAAUUUAAUAUCAAACACUUCAGUGCGAGCAGUGUUACUUGUUUUUAUACAAGAUUUACUUACAGAAUACAUAUUCUUAAUAACAUUAUGAAAUUUAGUACCAACCCCUAUUUCUAAGAGUUUAAGUCUU
rnacentral:lncRNA from 1 species